rnacentral:rRNA from 1 species
ACCCGCACAAGCGGUGGAUGAUGUGGAUUAAUUCGAUGCAACGCGAAAAACCUUACCUACCCUUGACAUGUCUGGAAUGCCGAAGAGAUUUGGCAGUGCUCGCAAGAGAACCGGAACACAGGUGCUGCAUGGCUGUCGUCAGCUCGUGUCGUGAGAUGUUGGGUUAAGUCCCGCAACGAGCGCAACCCUUGUCAUUAGUUGCUACGCAAGAGCACUCUAAUGAGACUGCCGGUGACAAACCGGAGGAAGGUGGGGAUGACGUCAAGUCCUCAUGGCCCUUAUGGGUAGGGCUUCACACGUCAUACAAUGGUCGGGACAGAGGGUCGCCAACCCGCGAGGGGGAGCCAAUCUCAGAAACCCGAUCGUAGUCCGGAUCGCAGUCUGCAACUCGACUGCGUGAAGUCGGAAUCGCUAGUAAUCGCGGAUCAGAAUGUCGCGGUGAAUACGUUCCCGGGUCUUGUACACACCGCCCGUCACACCAUGGGAGUGGGUUUCACCAGAAGUAGGUAGCCUAACCGUAAGGAGGGCGCGUACCACGGUGGGAUUCAUGACUGGGGUGAAGUCGUA